rnacentral:misc_RNA from 1 species
AAGACUAUAGACCUGCGGAGUACCUGCGGAGGGAUCAUUACAGAGUUUUCUAAACUCCCAAACCCAUGUGAACUUACCAUUGUUGCCUCGGCGGAGCCUACCCUGUAGCUACCCUAUAAGGUGGUUACCCUGUAGCGCCCCGCCGGUGGAUUUUCAAACUCUUGUUAUUUAUAGUAAUCUGAGAGUCUUAUUUUAAAUAAGUCAAAACUUUCAACAAUGGAUCUCUAGAUCGGAAGAGCA